rnacentral:rRNA from 1 species
UCGAGAAUCUUCGGCAAUGGGCGCAAGCCUGACCGAGCGACGCCGCGUGCGAGAUGAAGGCCUUCGGGUUGUAAAUCGCUGUCAGAGGGGAGGAAAUGCCGGCGGGUUCUCCCAUCGGUUUGACCUAUCCUCAGAGGAAGGACGGGCUAAGUUCGUGCCAGCAGCCGCGGUAAGACGGACCGUCCAAACGUUAUUCGGAAUCACUGGGCUUAAAGGGUGCGUAGGCCGUCCGGUAAGUUGGGUGUGAAAGCCCUCGGCUCAACCGAGGAAUUGCGCCCAAAACUGCCGGGCUUGAGGGAGACAUAGGUGAGCGGAACUUAGGGUGGAGCGGUGAAAUGCGUUGAGAUCCUAAGGAACACCAGUAGCGAAAGCGGCUCACUGGGUCUCUUCUGACGCGGAGUGCACGAAAGCUAGGGGAGCGAAGAG